UACGUAGGGGGCAAGCGUUGUCCGGAAUCAUUGGGCGUAAAGAGCGUGUAGGCGGCUCGGUAAGUCCGCUGUGAAAGUCCAGGGCUCAACCCUGGAAUGCCGGUGGAAACUGUCGAGCUCGAGUCCGGAAGAGGCGAGUGGAAUUCCUGGUGUAGCGGUGAAAUGCGCAGAUAUCAGGAGGAACACCAAUGGCGAAGGCAGCUCGCUGGGACGGUACUGACGCUGAGACGCGAAGGUCAGGGGAGCAAACGGG
rnacentral:rRNA from 1 species